ensembl:antisense Gm5106 predicted gene 5106
GCUGGGUCCCUUCCGCCCUGGCGCGCUCCUCCACCAGCCCGCGGCUGCGAGCUGGGCAGCGAGAAUCCACAGCACAGGGCUGGCGCGGAAAACACCGUCCUGAAGGCUGCUGCUGCGGGUGCUCUUGGAGCGACUUGUGGCUGUCGCCACUUGGUCCCCACAGACUCAAGAGGACGCUACCACCCGGACCGGACUCAGGCAUCCGGAGCACCGCACUCUUCCGAGAACUGCCUACCUCACGUGCCACCUCCGGGUUUCCUUCGCAAAGUCAGCCAAGAUGUAGAAUUUGGAAGUAGCUCUGAGUUGAGCGGAACCUCGGAAGAUGGAAGCAGCGGCCUCAGCCUCUUACGGCUUCAAGAGCCACUGCGGGAAGGAGCCAGAGGGCUUCCUCGGGCCCCGGAUUAAAAUAGAUGCCAGCGGCCGCCCUAAGGCCCGGCAGCCAAUCAGCCUGGUGGGUGGGAUUGGGCAAGGGCAGCUGGAGUGUUGCGAAACAGGAGAUACUUCCAGGCUUACCCUGAUUUUUUUGAGAAGGGCGCUGGUUCCCUCAGACAUUUACAUAGACUUGUCUUUACGUGUUCAGUGGGCAGUGUGUUCACACCAGGAUUGAAGUCGAUAAACUGUGAAGUGACAUGGGAACGUUCAAUGGCCUCACACCUCGGAGUCUCAAUCCUUACUGAUGGUACAUGUGGAUGCCAGAAGACAAACAGAUGUCUUUUCUCAGGAGCUGUCCAUCUUGUUUUCUGACAGUUGUUCUUUGUUAACUAGGGCUCACUGUGUAGGCAAGUCUGGCUGGCCAGCAUCUAUCUCUCUCCACCUCCCAGUACUGGGAUUAUAAGCACCCCCCUCAUACCCUGACUUUUUAUGUGGAUGCUGAGGACUGAAUCAAAUUCUUAUUCUUGUUGGGCAAGCACAUUACCAACUGAACUGAAUCUCCCCGUCCCCUACUGGUACUUCUUAAUGCAUAUUAAUGAACCAACUAAUGGGUUUCACUGUAGAAUAGAUAGAUAGAUAGAUAGAUAGAUAGAUAGAUAGAUAGAUUAAUUAUACAUAGAAAUCACACACACACACACACACACACACACACACACACACACACUUCCUGCAGUGUUUAUGCUGACCAUCACCUCUCUUUUCCCAACCACCAUUCCCUUACCUUUCCUCCCCUUCCAACCACUAAUAAACCCCUUUCUUCUGUU